rnacentral:rRNA from 1 species
AGGUAGUGACGAAAAAUAACGAUACGGGACUCAUCCGAGGCCCCGUAAUCGGAAUGAGUACACUUUAAAUCCUUUAACGAGGAUCAAUUGGAGGGCAAGUCUGGUGCCAGCAGCCGCGGUAAUUCCAGCUCCAAUAGCGUAUAUUAAAGUUGUUGCGGUUAAAAAGCUCGUAGUUGAAUCUGUGUGUUACGCUGUCGGUUCACCGUUCGCGGUGUUUAACUGAUACGCUCGUGACACGUCCUACCGGUGGACUUAGCCCCCGAGGGCCCUCGUGGUUCCAAGGGGGCGGUCCUGUUUUAAUCCCAUCGCGGUGCUCUUUACCGAGUGUCGAGGUGGGCCGGUACGUUUACUUUGAACAAAUUAGAGUGCUUAAAGCAGACAAUUUUCGUCUGAAUACUGUGUGCAUGGAAUAAUGGAAUAGGACCUCGGUUCUAUUUUGUUGGUUUUCGGAACUCCGAGGUAAUGAUUAAUAGGGACAGAUGGGGGCAUUCGUAUUGCGACGUUAGAGGUGAAAUUCUUGGAUCGUCGCAAGACGGACAGAAGCGAAAGCAUUUGCCAAAAAUGUUUUCAUUAAUCAAGAACGAAAGUUAGAGGUUCGAAGGCGAUCAGAUACCGCCCUAGUUCUAACCAUAAACGAUGCCAGCUAGCGAUCCGCCGAAGUUCCUCCGAUGACUCGGCGGGCAGCU